rnacentral:rRNA from 1 species
UGCAGCAGCAACGCCGAGUGCGGGAAGACGGCCUUCGGGUUGUAAACCGCUUUAGCAGGGACGAAAUUGACGGUACCUGCAGAAGAAGCUCCGGCCAACUACGUGCCAGCAGCCGCGGUAAGACGUAGGGGGCGAGCGUUGUCCGGAAUUAUUGGGCGUAAAGGGCUCCUAGGCGGUUCAGUAAGUCGACUGUGAAAAUCCAAGGCUCAACCUUGGGACGCCAGUCGAUACUGCUGUGACUCGAGUUCGGUAGAGGAGUGUGGAAUUCCUGGUGUAGCGGUGAAAUGCGCAGAUAUCAGGAGGAACACCAACGGCGAAGGCAGCACUCUGGGCCGAUACUGACGCUGAAGAGCGAAAGCGUGGGGAGCAACAGGAUUAGAUACCCUGGUAGUCCACGCCGUAAACGUUGGGCACUAGGUGUGGGCCUUAUCAACGGGUUCCGUGCCGCAGCUAACGCAUUA